UUUUCUAUUUAUUAUUUAUUAUAAAUUUUUAUAAUAUUAAAUUAUUUAAAAACUAAAUAAUUGUGAAAACUGAAAAGGAAUUUAAAUAAAUUAUUAAAAUAAGAUUCAACGUACCUUUAGCAUUAGGGAUUUUUUAAAAAAAUAAAAAUUUUUAUUUACCCGAAAUAAUUUGAACUAAAAUUUUAAUUUAAUUUAUGUUUCAAUAUAAAUAAAAUUUAAUUUUAGAUGUGAAAUUCUUUUCAAAAAUUGUGAUAUCUGGUUUUUAAAAAAAAAACAUUAAGUUUUUCUAUAAAUAAAAUUAUUGAAAAAUAUUAUAGAAAAUUAAUUUUAGGAUAAGCUAAAAUUAAAAAUUUUAUUGAUAAUACAAAAAAAAUAGAAAGAUUAAAAUUUUCUUUUUUAUUUUAAUAAAUAUAUUUAUACUAAAAUAAGAAAAUACUUAUUAAAUUUAUUGGAUUUAAUAAAAUUUUUAAAUAAAAAUGAAAAUAUAAGUAAAAGUUAUUUUAACAAAAAAUAUUUAAUAAAUUUAAAUGAAAAUAAAAAUAAUUUUUAAGAACUCGGCAAAAAUUUUUCUAACUGUUUAAUAAAAACAAUUCAUUUAGAAAAAAAAAUUCAUUAAAUGUAAUUUCUGCUCAAUGAAUUUAUUUUUAAUUGCUGUAGUAUUUUGACUAUACAAAGGUAUUGUAAUAAGAUUUUAAUUGAAUGCUAAGAGAAUGGAAAUUUAGAAAAAAACUUUUUUGAAAUUAAAAAUUGAAUUUUUUUUAAUUUGUGCAGAAACAAUUAUUUAUAUUAAAGACAAGAAGACCCUAUGAAUUUAAAGAUUAAUUUAAUUAAUAUAAUUAACUGAAUUAAUCUUGAUUGGGGCGAUCAAAAAAUAUUAAUAACUUUUUUAAAUUAAAAUGAUCUAUUAUUAAUAAAAUAAUGAAAUAAAUACUCUAGGGAUAACAGCGUAAUAAUUUUUGAUAGAUCUUAUAGACAAAAUAGUUUGCGACCUCGAUGUUGGAUUAGGAUUCUUUUUUAAUGAAGAUGUUAAAAAAAGAAGUUUGUUCAACUUUUAAAUUCCUACAUGAUCUGAGUUUAGACCGAUGAGAAUCAGGUUGGAUUCUAUCUUAAUAAUUAAUUUUAUUUUAGUUAGUACGAAAGGAAUACUAAAAAUUAAUUAUUAAGAUAAUCAACUUUAUUUGCAUCAAUUUUUGGAAAA
rnacentral:rRNA from 1 species